UUCAAAAAAACAAAGUCCCAGGAUAUUUUUCUGCCCGAAGCGGUGCUGUUUGUUCUCUUCCUCAUUCCCCUUCGUCCUCCACCCCGGUGGGGUUCGCGGGAAAGGCGGAGACGGCUACUCCCCUCUCGGAUCCCUCUGCUCCUCGGCGCGCAGGCAACUCCGAUCGGGUGAGUUCGCCGAUGUUAUGUUCCCUCGCACGUUUUUUUCCUCCUCUCGGUUGAGCGGGGCGAAGCGACAAUUUUAGAAAUCGACGCCAUGGGGACGAAUAGGGUGGAUCGAAGGGGGGGUCGCGGAGAGGAACCACACUAGCCAUCGUCGUGGAAGCGGCUUCAUGGCAGCAACCACGGCAAUGCCCCGUCGUGGGAGCGGCGGAGGUCUGAUUUUGGGGUGGUGGGUCUGGUGGACGAGGGAGGCUCGCUCGAUCUGCGCCGGCUGAGGAGGAGUAGGCGCGCGGUUUCGAGGGGGUGGAGGGCGCACGGCUGGCGUGGAUUGUGGAGGAGGGGCGUGGUGCCGUCUGGGCAGAGGCGCGGGGCGAACUGCAGUAGAGAAGACAACGGUGCUGCUGAAGUGCUGAUGGUAGGGUGCUUCUCCUCCGUAGGCCAACGGUGUGCUUGACGGGGAGAGUAAAGAGAUUCAGAACAUGUGUUUGAGAAUAAACAUGCAUGAUGUUCAAAACUUGGUAACCGUUCUGCUUUUUGCUUGUGAGACGAAUCAAAUAAGCUUUGGCAUUUUUUGAAUCUGCAUGAUUAUCCUUCAGUCCGAGUGCAUAAUUAUUCGUUGAGUGUUUUGAGUGCAUGGGGGCGAUUUAAUUGAUAGUCCAUGCACAAGAGUGUGAUACACGCCUAUCGAUUUCAUUUUGGUAGAGAUCCACAACAUCAUCACGUCACUUCUUAUGAUUCUCCCACUGCAGUUGCCAUUUUUUUUACCAUUGACAAUAUAAACCAUUGUGUGGUUGUCACAUUAUCCAUAGCACAGCUGCACUAUCACUAUGCACUUUUCUCGCUGUAGUACCAUAGUGUAGUGUGCCAUUUUCAUACUAGAUUGAGUGCGGCGCCCUCCUCGCCUUCUUUCCCUCCCCUCCCCUCCCGGUGCUCCACAUCUCUCAAGUGGAGGCACCUCUCCUCCCAUCUGGAUUUUUGUGCUCGCCUCAAAUCGGAGAAGCUGCCUGGUCGUUGGACGUGGAGAGGUAGCUGAGGGCACUUCAAUGUCGAGCCAUGCAUCGCGACCUGGAUCAGCAGGCAGCGGAGUGGCGCGCUCGCCAGCGACCUCGCCGGGCGGCGGUGGGCGACGGCCAGUGGUACUCCCUGCGGCGCGCUCGCCAGCUCAUUAUUCGCGGGCAACCUCCCCGGCCAUGGGCAGCCGCCGCAGUGCGCCAUGGGCACGGGCAGCAGCACCAUGUGCAGCUCCCGCGUGUCGCCGGAGGCGAUGGGCAAGUGGAGCAGCCUGUCGCCGGAUAUGGGUUUCUGUAGGGUGGGCUGCCCGUGAUGGCGGCGCCAGGAGGCACCGGAGGUCGCGCCGCCGGUUCUUCUGGGAGAGCCCCGAUGAUCCUGUUCCCUGUGGGCCAGCCAGUCAUGGAGCUUGAUUGUCGCCGGAUGGCGACAAGAAAGAGAUUCGUGAACGAAGGUGGCCUGUUGUUUCUGCUGGAGUGAGCAAUGGAUAAAUAUUCUGCCUUAUUUGACCAUGAGCAAGGUUUAACCGAUGGAAGGGCCGCUACCAAAAGACAUGAACAGAAGGUCCUAUCGCUGGAUGUUUACUGUCCAAAUCACAAGGAUCUGGGAGUACAGGAGCAAAGACUUUGCUGAACUUUAUGAGCUGGACUUCGUCGUCCUUCCACUACUUCCUGCUCCUCAUAAUACAGUCCUAUCGCUGCUGUGGUCGCGCACCAACGGACAAGUGAUUCCAAAGGUGCACCUCAUAAUACAUGUAGAAAGCAUGAACCUCCCGCAUUUAUAUGUAUAUUUAUGGAAAAAAUAUCACAUAGAGCUAUGUAAUUAGUCGUAAAUCAGCUCGCAAAGAUUUUAUCAGAUCACCCUUAAUAAGUCUUCCGGUUUGCAAGUUUUGUCUAAAGGACUCUUCAACAAGUGACUGUUCUAGCACAGCUUCAGUGGAAAGAGUGGAUCAUGCCCCCAUCAAGCCACUUGAGGAGAAAAGAUAACACAUGGCUUCACUAUUGAAAUAUAUAGCUCCACCAUUCACUUACAUAAGCUACCUCUUCUCCAAGAAAAUAUUUAUUUUGAUUCGGUUGUAGUCCUAUUUGCCUGCAAUUUAUAUCAUAAUUUGCUGCCUACACGAAUGCAUUCAGAUACUUUAUAAUUAGGACAGUAGGUGCUGCAGUUAUAAGUAGGACUGUUUGUUCAUGUAGAUGCUAUGAUUCGUUUACAAAGAAAUUUAUAAAGUAUAUGCUGCAGUUAUAAUUAGGAGUGUUUGUACAGCAAUUUAUACUUUAUGCUUUUCGUUAUGAAUUUCUCGAGUAGCAGGCAAAUAGGACUGUUUGUUCAUGUGUAUACUUUAUGAACUUUAGGGCGUUGAUUGUAGAUGGUUAUACUAUAAAUAGGACUGUUUAAAGCAUGCUCGGUUAAGAGAAAUUGGGAAAGAAGAAAACAACGAUGAUAGUGUAUUCUGCAAGUUUGUUUAUGUCAUGUUGCUUCAACAAUCUUGAUUUUAGACCAAUGUACGUGUCAUGAGUGAAUGGGAUACUACAAUAUUUAGCAAACUUAAGAUCAUGGUGGUUUUUAUGCCAAGUCAAUCCCCUCUGAAUCAAUCUUUACUUUUCUUUUCCCGUAGUGAUUUCUGUACAUAUGUUUUUCCAUGUGUAGGUAGUCUGUAUUUUUUUUCUCUACCAUCAUUCACAUUCCUACAUGGGUUCACACAAUUAUUUUAGCUUACAGUAAUGUUUGCUGCUUAUGCUAUCUGCAAGGAUUGUCAUUUUCUCACACUUCUAGAACAUUCAUUUGCUAUAUGGUCAUGCAACAAGCUUCCCCAGUUCAGUUAUUUUAGCAUUUGUUUAUCAAAAAAUAAAGAUUGUUCAGUUAAUUUAGCUUUUUAGCAACCAAGGACUGUUGAGUUAUUUUAUCUUUUUUAUCAACCAAAGACUUAUUUUAACUUUCCAAAUUGUGAUUAAAUGUUUGUGAAAGAUGGAUCAUGGAAUUUUCGUUGUGUUCUUAUCCAUUUGAUGUUAUGGAAGGGUUACUUAUUUUCUAUGUGCAUACUCUUAUCCAUUUGAUGCUAUGGAAGGUUUACUUCUUGCAGAUCUCCAAAAUUAUUGACAAGUUUCUCUAAUUCCAAAAUUAUAUUGCAGAUUAUUGAAGGAAAUUCAUUUAAUAUUUCCCUAUCUCCUAAAUAACUAUUGUACUAGAAAUGUGGAAGAUUAGAGUACAUAGUACUGAUGUACUUCCUGGUAUGCUAAUUGUGUGUCUACAUCUCUUAUCACUAAGGAUUGGUGCGUGCAUUUGGAACAGAAAUCCUUUCUUGGAAAUGUACAUUUGUUGAUUCAUGAUAUAUAUAGUAUUUAGCCUUCUGUUAUGUUGCUCCAUGUUUACAUACAUAUAUUAGUUACUUAGGUCAUGCACAUUUCUUUGAAAUUUUUUCUCCUUCUGACUGUUAAGCUUGGAAUAACAUGAGAGAGUUAAAAUGCUAUAGUUCUUAUUAUUCAUGACACACUGGGUUCAGACAAUUUUUGUUUUGUUUUACUCCUCAAAAUUUAAUUAUUACAACUUGUUAUUAAGCUAAAUACUACCUCCGUCCACGGAUAAGUGUACUUCUAGCUUUUAUCCUAAGUCAAAGUUUUAUAACUUUGACCAACUUUAUAGGAAAAAUUAGCAGCAUCUAUGGCACUAAAUUAGUAUCAAUAGAUCCAUUUUGAAAUGUAUUUUCAUAAUAUACCAAUUUGGUCAUAUAUGUUACUGCUCUUUUCUAUAUAGUUGGUCAAGUUCUUAGAACUUUGACUUAGGACAAAACGUAGAAGUACACUUAUUCGGGGACGGAGGGAGUAACUAAUUAGGUCAAUAUAAUCUGAUCUGGUUCAGUUAUCCAAGUAAAGAGUGCAUGCUCAUAUUUCCACUGAUCAAGGCAAAGAAUAAGUUCCGUCGACACAACUAAAUCGAUUUUAGAGGCUGUAAGUAGGCAGAUGAUCCACUCAUGUUCUGAUCUAUCAUGAUUCUGGUUGAAAGUUGUGUUCAACUGAAAUUAUGCAUCAAAUCCCUGGAACUUAGGUGACUACUUCUGUCCAAGAUAGUUACCAUAUCCAAUUUUAUAUAUGAUCUAUGGUGCAAGGUACUUGUGGGAUUGGAUUUUUGAGUUUGGAUCAACGAUUCAUCCCUCACCGAGAUGACAAUUUUUGUUUCUAGCUGCACCUGAAAGUUAAGAAAGUAAAACAAAAAUGCACCAAAGUUACAUUUAAAUUAAUUUAUGCUUUUGUUGGAAAAAGUGGAGAUGCAUGGCUCCUGAUGACAAAGGAAUGGUGCUGAAUUCAUGGUUUUUUUCUUCUGCUGAUUUAAUUGAGAUUUUAGGAUAAGGGACUCAUGGCUGCUAUUUAUAAAUAAACUUGAUCAUCAUUUGCUGUUUAUUUUUUAGUAUUUUUUAGCCUUAUUAUUUAGUAUUGUUUACAAGAGGAAAAUUGCACUCAAUAAGUAUUUUAAAAGUUUAACCAUAUGUGCAUCUGUAUAAAACCAUACCAUCUCCCAUCUCCGUUCUUGUUUUAAGUAAAUUUCCAUGGGUCACCCAAGCAGGUGACACACCUGAAACUUGCAAUUUUCUGUACUAUUUUGUUUCAAUCUAAUUUUGACAUUUCCCCCUGUAUGUGUGAUACUUAGGAGAGGAGCAUUGCAUGGUUUAUAUAUUGGAGAAAAAGGCAUACAUGCAGCACUACGGAUUCUAAAGGAGUGUUCGGUUCCUCUCGGCUCCUUUAACUCCGCUCCCGGAGCGGACCAGACUUUAACUUAAUUUGACGGAGCUGCCAAAACCCAGCUCCCCAACUCCGCAGAGCAGGGAAGUUCCGAACAGGGCCCAAAUAGUAUGUGGUUAGAUUCUCUUUUUACGUUGUUGAUUAUGACUGCCAGUACAUGCUUGGAGACAACCACUGGGGCAUCGAUGCGGGCACAUGGACGAGGGGCGUGCUCGCCCAUCCGAGAUAAAAAGAGUUAAGAGGCCCAGGCUGAAAUUGCCCCUGCUUCCUUGCUGCUUGGCAAACUGUCACAGAAUCGUGUGCCUUCACAAUCACAAGGAGAUCCAUGAAUAAGGGUCUCUCGACUUGGGUAUUAAUAUGAUUUAUUCGAUGCAAUGAUUUUCCACAGCGUUGAAUCUCUAAAUGAACUAGAGCGAUGCUACACAUGAGGGAUGUGUGUGAGCUCGAUAGAAAGUACUCUGAGACGGAGCAAACCUGAAGAUUUAAAAGAUGAGAAAUCUCUUGUGGACUCAGAGAGAACAAGUAUCGGUUGUAGCGACAGUUAGUCAAUAAAAUUAAGAUUAAACAAAAGGAUGAGAUGCUGCAAACAGUAUCUUGGAGAAGUUCAUGUCAGAGUCUACAACACACGUGAAGGUUGGUUUUAAAGAGGCAACCGGGUACCUUUGAAAACCUCAAGAAGAGCCACUGGCUAGUUUGUUAGUGAUGUUGUCAUUGUGAUGCAUUGAAGUUCUUAUGCCAGCAAUUUUUAUGUAACUUAAACCAUUGAACUGAAGUUUCGUGGUUUUGCAAUUGAUACGUGGACGUAGACAACAAAGCUGAAGUGCAGUGAUCUUGUGCCGGAAUAUGUUGAUGUACAAUCAGGGUGCCGGAGUACUUGGCAGUACUGUCACCGUUGCGCCAAGUUCCAUAAUGCACAUCCUCCUAUUUCUCGCAUGGAUUUGUAAGUAAUAUGCAUCUCAACAUUUGUUCUGUCGAUGCAGACAAUGGGGUAUAUUUUAACAUAUAAGGUGGCUGGGCGACCCGCUCACUCGAGGGCUUCCUCGAUUUCCUUCGUUUUUGCCCGUUCGAUCUGCCCUGGUCUGGUCAAUCCUGCUGUGCCAGCCGUUCAAUUUUUACAGCGUUUUUUGACCCGGAAUUGUUUUGUGACGUCCAAUGACUGGUGGGCUUGGUAAGAUCGUUCAUAGGCUGGGUUAGAAUUCAUCGCCUGAGCCAUGCGCGUCGCGUGUCCCAUCACGAGCUGACCGCGCCGUGCGUUGUGGGAAGCUGCAGAGACCGCGUCAUGCGUCAUGGGGAGCCACAGAGGUAUUGGCCGGCGCAUGUGCACCCGCUUUUGUAUCCAUUUUUGUGUUCUCAUCUACUACCACUAUAAAAGAAAAAGAGGGGCAGAUCCAAACAAUCACACCCAUCCAUCAUCAAGAUCUAAUGGUCCACGGUCUCUUUAUGUUUAACACUAGCAAGCCACUAAUCACGCAGUAAGCGAAACGACCCGCACAGAUGGCCCGCACCACUAAUCCUCGCCAGUCCUGAACAAAACUGCCUGCAUGAACGCCACGAGCCCACGACCUUCGCUACUCCUCUGCUACCCACGUCUCCCGCAGAUCCUCCGCUCCCCCGCGGACUGCCGCCGCCGAUGAGCCCAUCUGAUGGCGGCGCGGACCCAUGUCCUAGCGCUGGAUCCGGCGACCUCCGGCAGAGGCGCGCCCGGCCGUGCCUCCCCCGGCACAGUGGCCCGGCUGGCAGCGCCGCUCCUGUCCGCCGCAGCCGCCGGCCGGCGAGGGCACAAGCGGUGCCGACCUGCACGCGCAAGGGGAGGCGGCAGGAGCAGUCGUGCAAGGACAGGACCAGCCGUCCGGUCAAUCGAGCGAUCCUUCUUCGUCUCGGCCGCUACGUGCCCCACCCUCGACGACGCCCGCUGUGGCGAUCUCCGCCCGGGUGACCAGCUCUGUGCCGUUUCAUGGUGCGCUGGAUGGAGGGGUCGCACCGCGGUUGCCGGGACAAGGUGGGCGUCGAUGUGGUCUGCUGCGUGCCAGACUCACCAAUCCAAGAUUCGGCGCUUUCCUGGACAAUGUGACAAAGAGGUUCGGCGAGGACCAAGGGACGGCGACAGCAGCGUCUCAGCAGGCAUCCCCGAGCGGCGGGCGCCGGCUUGCGUUUUUUUUUUAAUGAAGGGAUUGUUAAAGAAGUUGCGUCCUCUCAACUGAAGAAGCUGCGUCAAAGAUUGUUAAAGAAAUCAUUAUCUUUGAUGUACUACGUCUUCAUGUUAUACAUGUAAUCUCUACUAUCUAAAAGAAACGUAGUGUUCCGUUUUCCCUCUUACGUUCGUCAAGCCUUUCGUACGACCCCCUCGCUCCUGAUUUUCUUUCCUCCCGUCCCGACCCACCUCUCGUCCCACUGAUUUUCUUUCCCCCCUCCCGGUUUUCUCCCUCACGGUUUUCUCCCUCUGGCUUGCAUCUCACGCCGGCGUCCAGCGCCACCGCUACCGACCUCCAGCCUUCAUCCCGUAACUCCUCCCGCGCGCCCUAUCUCUCUUCUUCUCCCUUCUCCCUUCCCGACCUCUCUCUCACAAAUCUUGUCUCUGGCCCCUGGAUCCCGAUGGAGCACCAUGGAUCCCGAUGUGGAGCUCCACUGCGGCCAGAUCUGACCUGGGAGCGGCCAGAUCCGUGCGUCUCCGCGUCGAUCCGUGCGUCUCCGCCUCGAUCCACGCGCCUCCAUGGUUCGCCGUCUUCUCGAGCGCCGGCGCUGCGCUCAGCCGCCGCCGUCCCAUGCCAUGGACGCCUCCCUCCAAAACGACCUGCCAUGGCCGCCUCCCUGCCUCUCCCGCAAGUGGGCCUCUGCGCGACCAGAUCCGUUCCUCUGCGCCUCGCUCCGCGCGCCUCCAUGGUCCUCCGUCUUCCCGAGCGCCGGCGCCGCGCGUAGCCGCCGCCGUCCCAUGCCAUGGCCGCCUCCUGAUGUCCAAUUCUUUUUGUUGUUGCUAUAUUCAACCUCAUCUCUGAAAUUUUACAUCUUCAUGUGUUGCUGCUAUAUGCAGGUGUAUCAAGUUUCACAAGGUCAGUGAUUAUUGAACCAUCUGGAGUCUGUACUGGAGGCAUACAGUAGGAGCGCGGCGCUGAACAGUUGAACAAAACUCAGCUUCAAUUAAUCGAAAUGGUACCUUGCUCUCACCUUU